UACGAAGGGGGGCUAGCGUUGCUCGGAAUCACUGGGCGUAAAGCGCACGUAGGCGGCUUUCUAAGUCAGGGGUGAAAUCCUGGAGCUCAACUCCAGAACUGCCUUUGAUACUGGAGAGCUCGAGUCCGGAAGAGGUGGAGUGGAACUGCGAGUGUAGAGGUGAAAUUCGUAGAUAUUGGGAAGAACACCGGUGGCGAAGGCGGCGACCUGGUCCGGGACUGA
rnacentral:rRNA from 1 species